AACGAACGCUGGCGGCAGGCCUAACACAUGCAAGUCGAGCGCCCCCGCAAGGGGAGCGGCGCACGGGUGAGUAACGCGUGGGAAUAUGCCCUGGGGGCUGGGGGAUAACGGCGGGAAACUGCCGCUAAUACCCGGUACGCCUUGAGGGGGAAAGGAGCAAUCGCCCUGGGAGUAGCCCGCGUUGGAUUAGCUAGUUGGUGAGGUAAGAGCUCACCAAGGCGACGAUCCAUAGCUGGUCUGAGAGGAUGAUCAGCCACACUGGGACUGAGACACGGCCCAGACUCCUACGGGAGGCAGCAGUGGGGGAAUAUUGGACAAUGGGGGCAACCCUGAUCCAGCCAUGCCGCGUGAGUGAAGAAGGCCUUAGGGUUGUAAAGCUCUUUCGGCGGGGACGAUGAUGACGGUACCCGCAGAAGAAGCCCCGGCUAACUUCGUGCCAGCAGCCGCGGUAAU
rnacentral:rRNA from 1 species